rnacentral:rRNA from 1 species
UACGAAGGGGGCUAGCGUUGCUCGGAAUUACUGGGCGUAAAGGGAGCGUAGGCGGACAUUUAAGUCAGAGGUGAAAUCCCGGAGCUUAACUUCGGAACUGCCUUUGAUACUGGGUGUCUUGAGUGUGAGAGAGGUAUGUGGAACUCCGAGUGUAGAGGUGAAAUUCGUAGAUAUUCGGAAGAACACCAGUGGCGAAGGCGACAUACUGGCUCAUUACUGACGCUGAGGCUCGAAAGCCAGGGGAGCGAACGGG